GCAUGUCGAGCGCUCUUCAGCUAUGUAGAGAGCGCGGCGAACGGCUCAAUAACACGUAGUUAACCUACCCUCGGGAUGGGAAUAACCCCGGGAAACUGGGAUUAAUACCCACUAGAUGAUUAUACCUGGAAUGGCUUAUCAUCGAAAGAGUCUGGAAACAUGCUUCCAGCGUCGCCCGAGGAUGGGACCGCGUCCGAUCAGGUAGUUGGUGGGGUAAUGGCCUACCAAGCCUAUAACCGGUACGGGCCCUGAGAGGGGGAGCCCGGAGAUGGAAACUGAGAAAAGGUUCCAGGCCCUACGGGGUGCAGCAGGCGCGAAACCUCCACAAUGCGCGAAAGCGUGAUGGGGUUAUCCCGAGUGCCGUCCGAUGAGGAUGGCUUUUUAUCGAUGUAAGGAUUCGAUAGAAUAAAGGGGGGGCAAGACUGGUGUCAGCCGCCGCGGUAAUACCAGCCCCCUGAGUGGUAAGGACGAUUAUUUGGCCUAAAGCGUUCGUAGCCGGCUUAUCAAGUCUUUUGUUAAAUCCAACGAUUCAAUCGUUGGGCCGCAAAAGAUACUGUUAUGCUAGAGGACGGGAGAGGUCGACGGUAGUCCAGGGGUAGGGGUGAAAUCCUAUAAUCCUUGGAGGACCACCAGUGGCGAAGGCUGCUGUCUAGAACACGUCUGACGGUCAGGGACGAAAGCUGGGGUAGCGAACCGGAUUAGAAACCCGGGUAGUCCCAGCUGUAAACGAUGCGGGCU
rnacentral:rRNA from 1 species